GUGACUGUCGGCUCCACAGCAGUGUCUUUUUUCUCUCUCUCUCUUCAACCAAGCAUUCCAAAUGCAUCCAUGCGGAGACGGAGAGGCAGACGACUGAAGCGACCGGCCAUUGCGCACCUGAACCCGUUGACUCGACUCGGAUCCAAGGAUGAAACCCGCACCUUUCCUGACUAAUGGCGUGUGAGCUUUGGCCUGUGACACAGUAGUGAAGAAGAGUGUUAAUAGAAGACCGCUGGGAUCCACGGGUAGGGUGAAGGUAGAAAUCAUAAUGAAGGUGAAAGGAAGGAAGACCUCACCUCCCAGGCUGCACAAACUCAGACCGUGAGACCUUCACAGCUUGAACACUGAAUGUGUGAGUGGAUUUCCUAGUAUGUCAAGUUUGCAGAAAAGGGGCCUGGACCCAAUGUGUGUUCAUGCUUACCAUUUGGACAGUACUUGAACUGCUCGUGUUUGAUUUCAAAUUUUAAUGUACAGUUGGAUCAUCGCUUGUAACUACAUGUACCCUGUAGUUAUUAUUCUGCACUGUAGUCUAGUAUAGCAGCGAGUGAAGGAAUGUCUUGCCUCAUGUGGACACAGUGAGUCACCAGGAUGUCUUACUGUAAGUCGGACUGCCUUACUUUUUGGGCUGCAGCAGCCAUUUCCAGUUCAGCACCAUGGACAGAGCUCACUAAAAACAUAGGUAUUCAUGUGCUGUUAGCUCUUCACAGAAUUCUGUUUUGUAUGUUUAGACUACAUGAGUCUAAAUAUUAGCUUAAAAGGUUCAUCCAACAUUAUCUUUAAAGAUUCCCUCUACUUUUUGUGUGCCUAGUUUUGUGUCUGUGGCGUCAGCACAGCAGAGCCUCCAAAUUUACACAGCGGGUAAUGGAGUUACCAGGUUCUGACCAGGAUCAAGAAUGUAUUGAUCAAAACAUCUCACCUUAUGCUGCUUCCAUGUUCGAUCCACGGGCUCGCUGUCACGGGACUGUGGUGCAAGAACACAUCUACAAAACAUAAGUGGGUGUCUGUGCUUCUGUUCAGUUCAGUUGUGAAAACCUUUAAAGUGUGGUGUUUUAUCAUUAGAUGUGGACAAAGUCAGAAAUUAUGUUUGUGAUAGGAACAAAUGUGACAAAAGCACUGAACAUAGUUUCUAUAUUUUCAUUUCUUUGAUUAUUAUAUCACUGUUUGUGUUCUGUCUCUGUUAUUUGUAAAUUUAGUCACAAUAUGUUUUUCCACUCAUCUUGCUUAUGAAAACACCUCAAUAGGCAGAUGUUCCAGCAAAUAUGCCACAAAACAAUAAGCUGAAAAAUGGCUCGCAGGCGACUUGGGUGCUGUAAUUUGCAUCAGAAUGAACAGCAACAGUGAAACAAUUUCUGAAUAUAAAUUUUGUUGUUUGAAUGUUCAGA